rnacentral:rRNA from 1 species
CUCGUAGGCGGUUCGUCGCGUCCGGUGUGAAAGUCCAUCGCUUAACGGUGGAUCUGCGCCGGGUACGGGCGGGCUGGAGUGCGGUAGGGGAGACUGGAAUUCCCGGUGUAACGGUGGAAUGUGUAGAUAUCGGGAAGAACACCAAUGGCGAAGGCAGGUCACUGGGCCGUUACUGACGCUGAGGAGCGAAAGCAUGGGGAGCGAACA